UAGAAUUGACAAUGGUUACACCAUCAGCAGAAUUAUAGAUAAUUGAAGGAAGUGAUGUAAUUCGUGGAAUCAAAUGUUGUAGACAGUAGUAAGGAAUCCGACAACACACCAACAGUAAGGAAUCUGACACCAAGUAACACAUUAGAAGGGAAGACUGAUCAGGGAAAUGUUGAUCAAGGAUGAAAAAGGUACAGACUUGUGUCACAACCCAACCUCCUUCGAAAAUAGUCUGGAUCCGCCCCUGUGUAGAAGAUCCAUCACACUGCUAUUCAGGAGUACAACGCCACCAUCUGCAGAAAAACAAGAAGCGCAACACCUUUUUUUCUUUAAUUUAUAGAGUGUGCAAGGUUUUUUUCAAGUAUAUGUCUGCAAAAAAUGACUAUACAUCUAUACAACGCAUCCAGAUUAUGAAUCUAUCCUUAGAAUGCCAACCCAAGCUGUUGAUGAUCGAGUACCGGUAAAUAGCGUGAUCUAGACAUACUGGACAAGUACAGGGGAGGAAUGUGUGUACAACGGCAUGAGGAUAUGACAGUCCCCCGUUGAUGAACAUGAUAAUAAUUAACAGACCAUUACGUUAAUUAGUACGGACCGCGUUGAGCUCGUCACCCCUCCUCUGUUUGCCGCUGGUUAACACGCAUUGUUCCGUGUAGUUUCCAUGUUUAGAAGGGGAUAUUCAGGCCUAACCCGUCAGUAACGGUGUUCCUGUCCACGAUGCCGUGUAAAUGGGCAACCUAAAAGAUCUGAAAAAUAUGGAAUCCUAAAAAAACCUUCUAUCUUUCUAUUAUAUUAAUAAAUACAGAUAAGAUAAGAAGAGAUAAGUUUAUUUCAAUUUUGGGCCCCGAGGACAUAACAGCAAAAUAAUUUACAUGUACUUUUGAUAUUAGUGUUGUGCAACAUUAAUUUUAGUAAAAUAUAGUAAGAAAUUAAACAGCGAAUUAUUCUGUAUUUCAAAAUAUUUAAUUGAAAGGCUUAAUCAUUUCAACGCUUACGUCCCCCUACUCAUUUUAAUUAUUUCUUGCGAUUCUUUGUUUAAAUUAUAUUCAACUUGAAAAGGGAAUUAAAAUUUUUAAUAUUUUGACAAAAUGCAUUAGGCGCGAUGAAAAAUUAUAUUAAAAAGUGUGGUUGCAUUAGAGCAGUGAAAGGGUGAAUGUCUUUCAGUGUUUGGUAGGCUUAAGCACUUGUGAAAUAUAGUGACACAGACCAUUUCAUUAAUUAACCUAAUUUUACCCCAUGUUUAGUUCACCAACUUCCUUAUAAGGGAACAGCAUUGAACAUAGUGUUUUACAGAAAGUCGGGACGUAGGAAUACAAGGUUAGCACUGGUUUGACAAAUUACUGCAAUUAGGGAAAUACACGGGUUCGACGUUUGCUGUUCUCGAGAAGACUGAAGGGCAAUGAUAUAAAUGAAGCUAAAAAAUAUCGAUCACGUAGACGGAUGGCAAUAAUAAAAUAUUCUUCAGUUUACAUUUCAUCUAUUUUUUAUGUAACUUAACUUACAAACGCACAGAAUAUACACCUUCGGGAUAUGUUUUUGUCAUACACUGUAAAAUUUUAAAUUGAAAAAAAAUUCUUGGUAUCACUUCACGAGAGUGCACCAUUUGGUAUACAUAGAAUGAAUGCUGCUCUUGCUUUCGGACAUCGUGAGGUUUUCAGAUAAAAAUCUCCAAACGCUUUUAAACAUGGACAAUUAACAUCCUGCUCUCGAGUUAUAUUUAUGAUUUUAUUUAAUGGUAAUUACUAAAAAUUCCAAAGAGGCGCCUGGCAUAUGGGCAACUGUACUUAUGACAUUACACUCAAAAAAUCAAAAUCAUUUCUGAAAAGAAUCGAAUAGAUGUCAUUUGAUAGAUAAGGAUCGGUAGUCCCUAUCAGAUCUAAUGUUCACUUCACAUUUUGUCAGAUUUGUAAAAGGUGUUUUAGCCGUAUGAAAAGUAACAGUUUGAAGGGAGUUAAUAGGUCAAAAUUAUGGCCAUGUCCUUUCACUAUCCCAAUAUAACCACAAUACACCAGUAAUCAAAUAUGACAGAUGCCAUCUCUCUCUCUCUCUCUCUCUCUCUCUCUCUCUCUCUCUCAUACGUACAUACGUACAUUG